rnacentral:piRNA from 1 species
UGAACUUUAUAUGCGUGAAGAUGAAGAUC